CCUACGGGGGGCAGCAGUGGGGAAUAUUGCACAAUGGGGGAAACCCUGAUGCAGCGACGCCGCGUGAGUGAAGAAGUAAUUCGUUAUGUAAAGCUCUAUCAGCAGGGAAGAAAAUGACGGUACCUGUGUAAGAAGCCCCGGCUAACUACGGGCCAGCAGCCGCGGUCAUACGUAGGGGGCAAGCGUUAUCCGGAUUUACUGGGUGUAAAGGGAGCGUAGACGGCAGUGCAAGUCUGGAGUGAAAGGCGGGGGCUCAACCCCCGGACUGCUCUGGAAACUGUACGGCUGGAGUGCAGGAGAGGUAAGUGGAAUUCCUGGUGUAGCGGUGAAAUGCGUAGAUAUUAGGAGGAACACCAGUGGCGAAGGCGGCUUACUGGACUGUAACUGACGUUGAGGCUCGAAAGCGUGGGGAGCAAACAGGAUUAGAUACCCCAGUAGUC
rnacentral:rRNA from 1 species